rnacentral:rRNA from 1 species
UAAGACAGAGGUGCCAAGCGUUAGGCGGAAUCACUGGGCUUAAAGCGUGUGUAGGCGGAUCGUUAAGUACCUUGUGAAAUCCCACGGCUCAACCGUGGAACUGCUGGGUAUACUGGCGAUCUUGAGCCACCUAGGGGCGAGCGGAACAAGCGGUGGAGCGGUGAAAUGCGUAGAUAUCGCUUGGAACGCCAAUGGUGAAAACAGCUCGCUGGGGGUGUGCUGACGCUGAGACACGAAAGCCAGGGGAGCGAACGGGAUUAGAUACCCCGGUAGUCCUGGCCCUAAACGAUGUCGACUAGAUCGUAGUGCCUCUGACGGUAUUACGGUCGAAGCAAAAGUGCUAAGUCGACCGCCUGGGAAGUACGGUCGCAAGGCUA